GUAGGUGAACCUGCGGAAGGAUCAUUAUUGAGAUAGGGGCUUCCGGCCCCGACCCUCCCACCCGUGUUUACCGACCUUUUGUUGCUUUGGCGGGCUGGCGGCCGGGUCGCAUCCCGGCCGCUGCUGCCUGCCCGCCGAAAGCCCACCCGAACUCGCUUACCGGUGAUGUCCGAGCAACAGAACAAUAACUUAAAACUUUCAACAACGGAUCUCUUGGUUCUG
rnacentral:misc_RNA from 1 species